GGAUGCAUGCGUGAGUUGGACGGUUUCGUUGGUUGUGUGGCAACAUCAGCAUCAACAACAUCAACGUCAACAACAAGAACCAGGACGGACGGACGGAGGCCGGCAUCGAGAUGAAGGUCCCCGGCCUUGGCGCACUGAUCUGGGCCGCUCUGGUCAGCCACAAGGUGUCCGCUGAGUACGGCAUGGCCCACUUCAGCGACAAGGGCGAAAGCAAAGGGAAGGACUACUGCAUCUUCUUUAAUUCCCAGUGGGCCCGUCUACCUCAGGACCUCCACAAAGCGUCACGUCUGCAGAUCUACGACCUGACACCAUCGGUGCUGUGCUCGCCGGUUGACGUCCCCGAGGGGGGCUUCCCCAACCGCAUUCCCAUGGUGAUGAGGGGGAACUGCACCUUCUACGAGAAGGUCCGUCUGGCUCAGAUGAACGGCGCCAAAGGCCUUCUCAUCGUCAGCAAGGACAGACUGACCCCGCCAGCGGGCAACAAGACUGAGUACGAGGAGAUCGACAUCCCCGUGGCACUGCUCAGCUACUCUGACAUGCUGGACAUAAGCAAGACAUUCAACCAGGGAAGACUGGUCGCCAUGUAUGCCCCUAACGAGCCAGUGCUGGACUACAACAUGGUGAUCAUCUUCUUGAUGGCGGUGGGGACAGUCGCCAUGGGAGGGCACUGGGCGGGCAGCAAGGAUCGGAAGAAGCGCUACAUGAAGUACAAAAGAGACGACGGGGCGGACAAGCAGGACGAGGAGACGGUGGACGUCACUCCCAUCAUGAUCUGCAUGUUCGUGGUGAUGUGCUGCAGCAUGCUGGUGCUGCUCUACUUCUUCUACGACAGCCUGGCCAUUUGGGUCAUAGGCAUCUUCUGCGUGGCGUCUUCCAUGGGCCUCUACAGCUGCUUGUGGCCUUUUGUGCGCCGCCUUCCGUUCUGCAAGUGCAGGAUUCCGGAGAACAAUCUUCCCUACUUGCACAAGAGGCCGCAGGUGCGUGCACUGGUGCUGUCGGCCCUCUGCGUCGGCGUCAGCAUCACCUGGAUGGUGUUUCGCAACGAGGACCAGUGGGCGUGGGUGCUGCAGGACGGCCUGGGCAUCGCCUUCUGCCUCUACAUGCUCAAGACUGUCAGGCUGCCCACUUUUAAGGCUUGCACUUUACUGCUGGCGGUCCUUUUCGUCUACGAUGUCUUUUUCGUGUUUAUUACACCCUUCUUCACCAAGAGUGGCGAAAGCAUCAUGGUGGAGGUGGCGGCUGGCCCCUCUGACUCGGCCAUGCAUGAAAAGCUUCCGAUGGUGCUCAAAGUCCCACGCUUGAACUCCUCCCCCCUCGCCUUGUGCGACCGUCCCUUCUCCCUGCUGGGCUUCGGCGACGUCCUGGUGCCAGGCCUGCUGGUGGCGUACUGCAACCGCUUUGACAUUUUGACGCACUCCUCCAGAAUCUACUUUGUGGCCUGCACCAUCGCGUACGGCGUGGGCCUGCUGAUCACCUUUGUGGCGCUGGCCGUGAUGCAGAUGGGCCAGCCCGCCUUGCUGUACCUGGUGCCUUGCACUCUACUCACUAGCCUAGUGGUGGCGCUGUGGCGCAGGGAGCUGCCUCAGUUCUGGACGGGAAGUGGAUUUGUGGUGAAUACCAGUUUGAUAUGACCCGUCUACUGCGCAGCCACAGAAAGACACCAAGUGACACAAAAGAGAAAAAUAGUUUUGACUAAAAUAGACCGCCCAUAGCUCUCGCCCCCAUCAAGUGUACGCAAACGGCGGAGCCACCGCCCGAUGGCUCUAAGGCGGAGACCCCGGCCGCCAAAGCGCACAAUCAGAACGAAGACCCGCCCGCCGGUCUGCCUCAGGAGACGCCCCUCGCUGAAAAAGAGAACAUUUUGAACUGAGAGGACUUCCAAGUUCUGCAG